rnacentral:rRNA from 1 species
CAUCUACGGAGAGUUUGAUCCUGGCUCAGGACGAACGCUGGCGGCGUGCUUAACACAUGCAAGUCGAACGCUGAUCCAUCUUCGGGUGGUGAUGAGUGGCGAACGGGUGAGUAACACGUGGGCAACCUGCCCCCGGCUCUGGGAUAACUCCAAGAAAUUGG